rnacentral:rRNA from 1 species
AGGCCGAUGGCGACCGGCGCACGGGUGAGUAACACGUAUCCAACCUGCCGUCUACUCUUGGACAGCCUUCUGAAAGGAAGAUUAAUACAAGAUGGCAUCAUGAGUCCGCAUGUUCACAUGAUUAAAGGUAUUCCGGUAGACGAUGGGGAUGCGUUCCAUUAGAUAGUAGGCGGGGUAACGGCCCACCUAGUCUUCGAUGGAUAGGGGUUCUGAGAGGAAGGUCCCCCACAUUGGAACUGAGACACGGUCCAAACUCCUACGGGAGGCAGCAGUGAGGAAUAUUGGUCAAUGGGCGAGAGCCUGAACCAGCCAAGUAGCGUGAAGGAUGACUGCCCUAUGGGUUGUAAACUUCUUUUAUAAAGGAAUAAAGUCGGGUAUGGAUACCCGUUUGCAUGUACUUUAUGAAUAAGGAUCGGCUAACUCCGUGCCAGCAGCCGCGGUAAUACGGAGGAUCCGAGCGUUAUCCGGAUUUAUUGGGUUUAAAGGGAGCGUAGAUGGAUGUUUAAGUCAGUUGUGAAAGUUUGCGGCUCAACCGUAAAAUUGCAGUUGAUACUGGAUAUCUUGAGUGCAGUUGAGGCAGGCGGAAUUCGUGGUGUAGCGGUGAAAUGCUUAGAUAUCACGAAGAACUCCGAUUGCGA